rnacentral:lncRNA from 1 species
GGGCUUGGAUAGAUAUAGAUUAGAUCUAUUGAAUAUAAGGUUAAAGGGUUUAACAUAGAUCAUUUCUGCUGCUAUUUCAAAUAGAUUUUGAAAUCUAUGUUUGCAACCCUACCCAUUUUCUAACAUGGACUUCUUCAAGAUGGUGCUCGAUGUCUCGGAUUUUCUUCUCAAGCUCCUCUUGGUGCAAUCUCCUGGGUCUAGGAGAGUAAUCCAAAGUUGAAUCCCUACUAGAGAAUGAACUCCGAUGGUGAGCUUCCUCC